rnacentral:rRNA from 1 species
UUGAACGCUGGCGGCAGGCCUAACACAUGCAAGUCGAACGGUAGCACAGAGAGCUUGCUCUCGGGUGACGAGUGGCGGACGGGUGAGUAAUGUCUGGGAAACUGCCUGAUGGAGGGGGAUAACUACUGGAAACGGUAGCUAAUACCGCAUAACGUCGCAAGACCAAAGAGGGGGACCUUCGGGCCUCUUGCCAUCAGAUGUGCCCAGAUGGGAUUAGCUAGUAGGUGGGGUAACGGCUCACCUAGGCGACGAUCCCUAGCUGGUCUGAGAGGAUGACCAGCCACACUGGAACUGAGACACGGUCCAGACUCCUACGGGAGGCAGCAGUGGGGAAUAUUGCACAAUGGGCGCAAGCCUGAUGCAGCCAUGCCGCGUGUAUGAAGAAGGCCUUCGGGUUGUAAAGUACUUUCAGCGGGGAGGAAGGCGAUAAGGUUAAUAACCUUGUCGAUUGACGUUACCCGCAGAAGAAGCACCGGCUAACUCCGUGCCAGCAGCCGCGGUAAUACGGAGGGUGCAAGCGUUAAUCGGAAUUACUGGGCGUAAAGCGCACGCAGGCGGUCUGUCAAGUCGGAUGUGAAAUCCCCGGGCUCAACCUGGGAACUGCAUUCGAAACUGGCAGGCUGGAGUCUUGUAGAGGGGGGUAGAAUUCCAGGUGUAGCGGUGAAAUGCGUAGAGAUCUGGAGGAAUACCGGUGGCGAAGGCGGCCCCCUGGACAAAGACUGACGCUCAGGUGCGAAAGUGUGGGGAGCAAACAGGAUUAGAUACCCUGGUAGUCCACGCUGUAAACGAUGUCGACUUGGAGGUUGUUCCCUUGAGGAGUGGCUUCCGGAGCUAACGCGUUAAGUCGACCGCCUGGGGAGUACGGCCGCAAGGUUAAAACUCAAAUGAAUUGACGGGGGCCCGCACAAGCGGUGGAGCAUGUGGUUUAAUUCGAUGCAACGCGAAGAACCUUACCUACUCUUGACAUCCACGGAACUUAGCAGAGAUGCUUUGGUGCCUUCGGGAACCGUGAGACAGGUGCUGCAUGGCUGUCGUCAGCUCGUGUUGUGAAAUGUUGGGUUAAGUCCCGCAACGAGCGCAACCCUUAUCCUUUGUUGCCAGCGGUUAGGCCGGGAACUCAAAGGAGACUGCCAGUGAUAAACUGGAGGAAGGUGGGGAUGACGUCAAGUCAUCAUGGCCCUUACGAGUAGGGCUACACACGUGCUACAAUGGCAUAUACAAAGAGAAGCGACCUCGCGAGAGCAAGCGGACCUCAUAAAGUAUGUCGUAGUCCGGAUUGGAGUCUGCAACUCGACUCCAUGAAGUCGGAAUCGCUAGUAAUCGUGGAUCAGAAUGCCACGGUGAAUACGUUCCCGGGCCUUGUACACACCGCCCGUCACACCAUGGGAGUGGGUUGCAAAAGAAGUAGGUAGCUUAACCUUCGGGAGGGCGCUUACCACUUUGUGAUUCAUGACUGGGGUGA